AUUGAACGCUGGCGGCAGGCCUAACACAUGCAAGUCGAACGGAGUGGCGGACGGGUGAGUAAUGCCUGGGAAACUGCCCGAUGGAGGGGGAUAACGACCGGAAACGGGCGCUAAUACCGCAUACUAUCAGAUGAGCCUAGGUCGGAUUAGCUAGUUGGUGGGGUAAAGGCCUACCAAGGCGACGAUACGUAACUGGGCUGAGAGGAUGUUCAGUCACAUUGGAACGGAGACACGGUCCAGACUCCUACGGGAUGCAGCAGUGGGGAAUAUUGGACAAUUGGCGAAAGCCUGAUCCAGCCAUGCCGCGUGUGUGAAGAAGGUCUUCGGAUUGUAAAGCACUUUAAGUUGGGAGGCGUUACCAACAGAAUAAGCACCGGCUAACUUCGUGCCAGCAGCCGCGGUAAUUC
rnacentral:rRNA from 1 species